CAUUCUCACUAUAAGCCAUUCUCACUAUAGCCAUCUGCACCACAGCCAUUCUCACUAUAACCAUUCCUCACACAGCCAUUCUCACUAUAACCAUUCUCACUAUAGCCAUUCUCACUAUAGCCAUUCUCACCACAGCCAUUCUCACUAUAGCCAUUCUCACUAUAGCCAUUCUCACUAUAC
rnacentral:lncRNA from 1 species